rnacentral:rRNA from 1 species
UACGAAGGGGACUAGCGUUGUUCGGAAUCACUGGGCGUAAAGCGCACGUAGGCGGAUGUGCCAGUCAGGGGUGAAAUCCCGGAGCUCAACUCCGGAACUGCCUCUGAUACAGCACGUCUUGAGUUCGAGAGAGGUGGGUGGAAUUCCUAGUGUAGAGGUGAAAUUCGUAGAUAUUAGGAAGAACACCGGUGGCGAAGGCGGCCCACUGGCUCGAUACUGACGCUGAGGUGCGAAAGCGUGGGGAGCAAACAGG